rnacentral:rRNA from 1 species
UACGUAGGUGGCAAGCGUUGUCCGGAAUUAUUGGGCGUAAAGCGCGCGCAGGCGGUCCUUUAAGUCUGAUGUGAAAGCCCACGGCUCAACCGUGGAGGGUCAUUGGAAACUGGGGGACUUGAGUACAGAAGAGAAGAGUGGGAUUCCACGUGUAGCGGUGAAAUGCGUAGAGAUAUGGAGGAACACCAGUGGCGAAGGCGACUCUUUGGUCUGUAACUGACGCUGAGGCGCGAAAGCGUGGGGAGCAAACAGG